GGCCUAACACAUGCAAGUCGAGCGGUAGAGAGAAGCUUGCUUCUCUUGAGAGCGGCGGACGGGUGAGUAAUGCCUAGGAAUCUGCCUGGUAGUGGGGGAUAACGUUCGGAAACGGACGCUAAUACCGCAUACGUCCUACGGGAGAAAGCAGGGGACCUUCGGGCCUUGCGCUAUCAGAUGAGCCUAGGUCGGAUUAGCUAGUUGGUGAGGUAAUGGCUCACCAAGGCGACGAUCCGUAACUGGUCUGAGAGGAUGAUCAGUCACACUGGAACUGAGACACGGUCCAGACUCCUACGGGAGGCAGCAGUGGGGAAUAUUGGACAAUGGGCGAAAGCCUGAUCCAGCCAUGCCGCGUGUGAAGAAGGUCUUCGGAUUGUAAAGCACUUUAAGUUGGGAGGAAGGGCAGUUACCUAAUACGUGAUUGUUUUGACGUUACCGACAGAAUAAGCACCGGCUAACUCUGUGCCAGCAGCCGCGGUAAUACAGAGGGUGCAAGCGUUAAUCGGAAUUACUGGGCGUAAAGCGCGCGUAGGUGGUUAGUUAAGUUGGAUGUGAAAUCCCCGGGCUCAACCUGGGAACUGCAUUCAAAACUGACUGACUAGAGUAUGGUAGAGGGUGGUGGAAUUUCCUGUGUAGCGGUGAAAUGCGUAGAUAUAGGAAGGAACACCAGUGGCGAAGGCGACCACCUGGACUGAUACUGACACUGAGGUGCGAAAGCGUGGGGAGCAAACAGGAUUAGAUACCCUGGUAGUCCACGCCGUAAACGAUGUCAACUAGCCGUUGGGAGCCUUGAGCUCUUAGUGGUGCAGCUAACGCAUUAAGUUGACCGCCUGGGGAGUACGGCCGCAAGGUUAAAACUCAAAUGAAUUGACGG
rnacentral:rRNA from 1 species